rnacentral:rRNA from 1 species
AUUGAACGCUGGCGGCAUGCCUUACACAUGCAAGUCGAACGGUAACGCGGGGCAACCUGGCGACGAGUGGCGAACGGGUGAGUAAUGCAUCGGAACGUGCCCAGUAGUGGGGGAUAGCCCGGCGAAAGCCGGAUUAAUACCGCAUACGACCUACGGGUGAAAGCGGGGGAUCGCAAGACCUCGCGCUAUUGGAACGGCCGAUGUCAGAUUAGGUAGUUGGUGGGGUAAAAGCCUACCAAGCCUUCGAUCUGUAGCUGGUCUGAGAGGACGACCAGCCACACUGGGACUGAGACACGGCCCAGACUCCUACGGGAGGCAGCAGUGGGGAAUUUUGGACAAUGGGCGCAAGCCUGAUCCAGCCAUGCCGCGUGCGGGAAGAAGGCCUUCGGGUUGUAAACCGCUUUUGUCAGGGAAGAAACGCUCUGGGCUAAUACCCCAGGGUAAUGACGGUACCUGAAGAAUAAGCACCGGCUAACUACGUGCCAGCCGCCGCAGUAAUAC